AUACGGAGGAUCCGAGCGUUAUCCGGAUUUAUUGGGUUUAAAGGGAGCGUAGGUGGACAGUUAAGUCAGUUGUGAAAGUUUGCGGCUCAACCGUAAAAUUGCAGUUGAUACUGGCUGUCUUUAGUAAAGUAGAGGUGGGCGGAAUUUGUGGGGAUGGGGGGAAAUGCUUAGAUAUCACGAAGAACUCCGAUUGCGAAGGCAGCUCACUGGACUGCAACUGACACUGAUGCUCGAAAGUGUGGGUAUCAAACAGGAUUAGAUACCCUGGUAGUCCACACAGUAAACGAUGAAUACUCGCUGUUUGCGAUAUACAGUAAGCGGCCAAGCGAAAGCAUUAAGUAUUCCACCUGGGGAGUACGCCGGCAACGGUGAAACUCAAAUGAAUUGACGGGG
rnacentral:rRNA from 1 species